rnacentral:tRNA from 1 species
CGGCGUGUAGCUCAGCCAGAAGAGCACCGGGCUCCGGACCCGGAGGGCGCGGGUGCAAAUCCCGCCGCGUCGG